GACGAACGCUGGCGGCGUGCUUAACACAUGCAAGUCGAACGGAAAGGCCCUGCUUUUGUGGGGUGCUCGAGUGGCGAACGGGUGAGUAACACGUGAGUAACCUGCCCUUGACUUUGGGAUAACUUCAGGAAACUGGGGCUAAUACCGGAUAGGAGCUCCUGCUGCAUGGUGGGGGGUGGAAAGUUUCGGCGGUUGGGGAUGGACUCGCGGCUUAUCAGCUUGUUGGUGGGGUAGUGGCUUACCAAGGCUUUGACGGGUAGCCGGCCUGAGAGGGUGACCGGCCACAUGAGGACUGAGAUACGGCCCAGACUCCUACGGGAGGCAGCAGUGGGGAAUAUUGCACAGUGGGCGGAAGCCUGUUACGGCAGCGCCGCGUGCGGGAUGACGGCCUUCGGGGUGUGAACCGCUUUCGCCUGUGACGAAGCGUGAGUGACGGUAAUGGGUAAAGAAGCACCGGCUAACUACGUG
rnacentral:rRNA from 1 species